AUUGAGCGCUGGCGGCAUGCCUUACACAUGCAAGUCGAACGGCAGCGCGGACUUCGGUCUGGCGGCGAGUGGCGAACGGGUGAGUAAUACAUCGGAACGUACCCUGUUGUGGGGGAUAACUAGUCGAAAGAUUAGCUAAUACCGCAUACGACCUGAGGGUGAAAGUGGGGGACCGCAAGGCCUCACGCAGCAGGAGCGGCCGAUGUCUGAUUAGCUAGUUGGUGGGGUAAAGGCCCACCAAGGCGACGAUCAGUAGCUGGUCUGAGAGGACGUGCAGCCACACUGGGACUGAGACACGGCCCAGACUCCUACGGGAGGCAGCAGUGGGGAAUUUUGGACAAUGGGGGCAACCCUGAUCCAGCAAUGCCGCGUGUGUGAAGAAGGCCUUCGGGUUGUAAAGCACUUUUGUCCGGAAAGAAAUCGCGCUGGUUAAUACCUGGCGUGGAUGACGGUACCGGAAGAAUAAGCACCGGCUAACUACGUGCCAGCCGCCGCCGUAA
rnacentral:rRNA from 1 species